rnacentral:rRNA from 1 species
AUACGAAAGCUGCAAGCGUUGUUCGGAUUUACUGGGCGUAAAGAGAGUGUAGGUUGUUUAUUAAGUCGGAUGUGAAAUCCCGGGGCUCAACCUCGGAACUGCAUUCGAUACUGGUAGACUAGAGUUCGGGAGGGGUAAGCGGAAUUCCGUGUGUAGCAGUGAAAUGCGUAGAUAUACGGAGGAACACCUGAGGCGAAGGCGGCUUACUGGACCGAUACUGACACUGAGACUCGAAAGCGUGGGUAACAAACAGGAUUAGAAACCCCAGUAGUCC